AACUCCUUAUAGAGAGGUUGAUACUCAGUAUUCUAAUCUUUACCUGGAAUGCAGCUAGAAGAUAAACGUCUCAAGCAUUCACGUUGCGUUCAGACUUGAUUGAUUCUUCUCUUGGUUGCAUUUUCAAGGGAAGGGGAGGAGCAGAAUGGGGGCAUAAGUGACUGGAGUCUGCCAGAUAGUCUCGGCCAGUUUUAAGAUGGCUUCAUUAAUGGGACGUGCCACCUUACUGGGACCAAUGCUCUGGAGAAUGUCUGAAAGUUCAUGAGGGGUGUCCUGUACCUCCUUCAGGGAAUGUGUCAGCAAUCCUCCUGUGCAAGUCUUGAAACUGCCCAGAGUCAUCAGAAAGUAAAGUUGUACAAUAUACCACUGUGCUACGGGGCAGGAACAACGAGCAGCCCGGAAGAGCAGCAGAAUUCGCUGAAGGACCCCAGACACCUUUUGACGAUAAUCUCUCUCAAUUUUUAAAGGAGAGUCAUUGUAGUCUUUCUGAGAAAUGUAAAGUUUAAGUACAUGACAAUGAGGCCAAUAGUUUGGGAGGAUAUAAAGAAUAAAGGAACUGAGCUACACAUGGAAUUUCUGCUCUUCAGAACAUUUAUCUUCUUUGUCUUAAGAACAGAGAUUCCACAAAGUAGAAAGAAAAAUUGAAAGGAGCUUUUCAAAGAGGCUUCUUGUUAUUACGGUGCCAUACAAGUAAUUGGCUGAAGUUUUUUUGGAAGAAAAACUGAAUUAUAAAGUUCAACUUCCACUAAAAAUACUUACUUCACUGAGAGAAGCUGGUUGUGGACAGUAUAAUGGUGGUGCAGG